AGAGUUUGAUCAUGGCUCAGAAUCAACGCUGGCGGCGUGCCUAACACAUGCAAGUCGAACGCGAAAGUCCCGCAAGGGAUGAGUAGAGUGGCAAACGGGUGAGUAACACGUGGGUGACCUGCCUUCGAGCGGGGGAUAACGUCCCGAAAGGGACGCUAAUACCGCAUGACAUCCUGCCUUUGAAGAGGUGGAGAUCAAAGCUGGGGAUCGCAAGACCUAGCACUCGAAGAGGGGCCCGCGCCUGAUUAGCUAGUUGGUGGGGUAACGGCUCACCAAGGCAACGAUCAGUAGCCGGCCUGAGAGGGCGGACGGCCACACUGGGACUGAGACACGGCCCAGACUCCUACGGGAGGCAGCAGUGGGGAAUUGUUCGCAAUGGGCGCAAGCCUGACGACGCAACGCCGCGUGGAGGACGAAGACCUUCGGGUCGUAAACUCCUUUCGAUCGAGACGAAUGGCCUUCGGGUGAACAAUCCGGAGGAAUGACGGUACCGAGAGAAGAAGCCCCGGCUAACUCCGUGCCAGCAGCCGCGGUAAUACGGGGGGGGCAAGCGUUGUUCGGAAUUACUGGGCGUAAAGGGCUCGUAGGUGGCCAACUAAGUCAGACGUGAAAUCCCUCGGCUUAACCGGGGAACUGCGUCUGAUACUGGAUGGCUUGAGAUUGGGAGAGGGAUGCGGAAUUCCAGGUGUAGCGGUGAAAUGCGUAGAUAUCUGGAGGAACACCGGUGGCGAAGGCGGCAUCCUGGACCAACACUGACACUGAGGAGCGAAAGCCAGGGGAGCAAACGGGAUUAGAUACCCUAGUAGUCC
rnacentral:rRNA from 1 species